UACGUAGGCAGCGAGCGUUACUCGGAAUUACUGGGCGUAAAGCGUGCGUAGGUGGUGAGUUAAGUCUGUCGUGAAAGCCCCGGGCUCAACCUGGGAAUGGCGAUGGAUACUGGCUCGCUAGAGUGCGGUAGAGGAGAGUGGAAUUCCCGGUGUAGCAGUGAAAUGCGUAGAGAUCGGGAGGAACAUCAGUUGCGAAGGCGGCUCUCUGGACCAGCACUGACACUGAGGCACGAAAGCGUGGGGAGCAAACAGG
rnacentral:rRNA from 1 species